rnacentral:rRNA from 1 species
GACGAACCGUGCGAACGUUGUUCGGAUUCACUGGGCUUAAAGGGCGCGUAGGCGGGUGUCCAAGUCUGGGGUGAAAUCCUUCGGCCCAACCGGAGAACAGCCUCGGAUACUGGAUGUCUCGAGGGGGGUAGGGGCACGCGGAACUUCCGGUGGAGCGGUGAAAUGCGUAGAUAUCGGAAGGAACGCCGGUGGCGAAAGCGGCGCACUGGACCACAACUGACGCUGAGGCGCGAAAGCUAGGGGAGCAAACAGG